GCUUGAGAUGUGUGGUGGACUCUUUGCUUCCCAAGCAAAGGGUCGCGAGUUCGAUCCUCGUCUCCCGCUCCA
rnacentral:tRNA from 1 species